rnacentral:rRNA from 1 species
CGGGUGCACUGAUCCGGCCGGGCCUUUCCCUCUGUGGAACCCCAUGGCCUUCACUGGCUGUGCGGGGGAAACAGGACUUUUACUGUGAAAAAAUUAGAGUGCUCCAGGCAGGCCUAUGCUCGAAUACAUUAGCAUGGAAUAAUAGAAUAGGACGCGUGGUUCUAUUUUGUUGGUUUCUAGGACCGCCGUAAUGAUUAAUGGGGACAGUCGGGGGCAUCAGUAUUCAAUUGUCAGAGGUGAAAUUCUUGGAUCUAUUGAAGACUAACUACUGCGAAAGCAUUUGCCAAGGAUGUUUUCAUUGAUAAGGAACGAAAGUUAGGGGAUCGAAGACGAUCAGAUACCGUCGUAGUCUUAACUAUAAACUAUGCCGACUAGGGAUCGGACGAUGUUAUUUCUUGACGCGUUCGGCACCUUUCGAGAAAUCAAAGUGCUUGGGCUCCAGGGGGAGUAUGGUCGCAAGGCUGAAACUUAAAGAAAUUGACGGAAGGGCACCACCAGGGGUGGAACCUGCGGCUUAAUUUGACUCAACACGGGGAAACUCACCAGGUCCAGACACAAUGAGGAUUGACAGAUUGAGAGCUCUUUCUUGAUUUUGUGGGUGGUGGUGCAUGGCCGUUCUUAGUUGGUGGAGUGAUUUGUCUGCUUAAUUGCGAUAACGAACGAGACCUUAACCUGCUAAAUAGCCCGUACUGCUCUGGCAGUUCGCCGGCUUCUUAGAGGGACUAUCGG